UGGGGAAUAUUGCACAAUGGGCGCAAGCCUGAUGCAGCAACGCCGCGUGAGGGAUGACGGCCUUCGGGUUGUAAACCUCUUUUAGCAGGGAAGAAGCGAAAGUGACGGUACCUGCAGAAAAAGCACCGGCUAACUACGUGCCAGCAGCCGCGGUAAUACGUAGGGUGCAAGCGUUGUCCGGAAUUAUUGGGCGUAAAGAGCUCGUAGGCGGUCUGUCGCGUCUGCUGUGAAAUCCCGAGGCUCAACCUCGGGCCUGCAGUGGGUACGGGCAGACUAGAGUGCGGUAGGGGAGAAUGGAACUCCUGGUGUAGCGGUGGAAUGCGCAGAUAUCAGGAAGAACACCGAUGGCGAAGGCAGUUCUCUGGGCCGUAACUGACGCUGAGGAGCGAAAGCGUGGGGAGCGAACAGGAUUAGAUACCCUGGUAGUCCACGCCGUAAACGUUGGGCGCUAGAUGUGGGGACCAUUCCACGGUUUCCGUGUCGCAGCUAACGCAUUAAGCGCCCCGCCUGGGGAGUACGGCCGCAAGGCUAAAACU
rnacentral:rRNA from 1 species